ensembl:lncRNA
CGCCCCCUAUUGGUCAGAAGACUGGCUGAUGUCACAAUACAGGGUGAGACCAAGCGUGCCGCACAAGCCCUGAAAAGUGAAGCCAAAACGUCUCGAUCGCCCCCUGGUGAGUGGUCCCAGUUUAGGUCAUAAACCCCGCCCUCCCCAUGUUAUUCAAUGGGACGCGAGACCAACUAAAUAAUUAAAUUACCCUUCAAAUAUAUUUUUCUGUCAUUUACUGUAGUUUGUAUCACGCUAAUGUAAAUUCAAGAGUUUGUUUUUAAAAUAAGUUGGUUUUUAGUAAGUUAUUUAAUGCUCUAAAAACGGUGGUGUGACGUCGUGAUUCACAGCUGUGAUUGACAGCUAUCUGAGCCGAGGAGCCACUGAAUCUUCGGAGGACUGAGGAGAUUGGAACUUUACAUUUAAUCUCUAAAUUUCUAUAAUUUCACACGGACAUAAUGGGUUGUUCUGCAGUACAUUGUGCUAACCGAUCUGGCAUUUCCAAUCGAUCUUUGAAUUUUUUUCGGUAAGUUAAAUUUAUAAGCUAUUUAAUUAGUAAAUAAAUGUAAUGGGCUAGCUAACGUUAGCUAAAAGACAACAAGCCACGUUAAUAGCCAUGUUAAUAGCUAGCAGGUAAUCGUUAGCUAGAAGUUACCAAUUAUUUUUGUAUUAGGCCUAUUCUAAAUUAAGGUUAAACAUGAUGUAAGUUAGGUUUAUAACAUAUCGUCUAGGUUUAACAAGCAAAGGUUGUACUGUACUUGGACUUGCGAUUGAUUACGGUAUGCGCAUUCUGCGAGGGAGAGUGAGGGCAGGGCACAGGGGUGGGGCCGUUGAUUUUGCUUUUUACGGCUUUACUUCCUGCUCGCUACUGCGCAUAACUACUGCGCAGAACUGGUCCCAAGAUCGCUGUCUGCGCAGACGCAAGUCCAAGAUGUCAGCGCUGUAUCGGGACACUGGCGGCUUCAGUUUUCACCAAUGGGUACAGUCUAUGGGAAGAGAAAGGCAAAAAGGAAAGGAAAGAAGACAUUUCCAGCCAGCAGGAGGAUGAGUAUAGUGAGUUUUAGGUUGCUCAGAAGAAAGGCAAAAAGAGUCUGAGGAAGAGGUUUCUUCAGUGGCUGCAACGAAAACUGAGACACAAGUUGGCUUGAUGACCACUGAAAGUCUAACAUCCAGAAAACCUCCCUAACAACCUUAGCCUGACUGACUCCUCUAGACUGUUAUCGAUGUACCUACAAACCCAGCCCUUUUCCCACCCAAAUUAUAACCUACAUAUUAACCAGUUUAUCUCCCCAAACUCAACCUAACCAUUGAUCUAUUAUCCACCCAUUGGAACAUACAGCCAUCCACUGGAACAUACAGCCAUCCACUGGAACAUACAGCUACCCACUGGAACAUACAGCCAUCCACUGGACAUACAGCCACCCACUGGAACAUACAGCCAUCCACUGGAACAUCCAGCCAUCCACUGGAACAUACAGCCACCCACUGGAACAUACUACCACCCACUGGAACAUACAGCCAUCCACUGGAACAUACACUGAAGUAGAGACAAAAAAACAUGAAUACAAUUCAAACUAAAAAACUAAACUAAAAAACACUUACUACCAGAUAUCUAUCUUUAAAUUAUUCUAAUUCUCAGCUGAACUAAGACUUUCAUAUAAUACCUAUCAAACCUUCAAGUCACCUACCUACUACAGUAACCAGUUUAUUUUAAUGACAUUCAUUUGAUGUUGGCUUUCUCCCCACCCGCUGAGGAGACAUCUGAUGAAGGUACUGCUGUUGACAUAAAAAGCAGCUGUUCAAGAUGCUCUUAAACGUGUAGUUAAAGAACCGCUGUGGGUCUUCUGAGGGAGUGGAGGCUGUAAACCUGGUCUCUUCAACUCUGACUAACUCCGGUGCAGCUGUAGAACUGUCUGAGGAUCUGGGGAAUAGGGCAAAUCUUUUGAGCCUUCUUAGGGGAAAAAGGUUUCGAAGUGCUCUCUUCACCGCUGACAAAGUGUCUGAAACUUGAGGCGGCCCCCUUACCAAGAAACUUUAAGAUAUCUACCACACUUCAGCUUUGUUGAUGUUGGCCUGGGAAUCCUGGAUGUUCUCUUUCCAUUAGCCAUAAUGAAAUUAUAAACGUUUGAAUGAAAAGAGCCAAACAAAAUAAUGUAUUGAAUAAUCCGGGGCCGGGUCGCGGGGGCAGCAGUCUAAGCAGAGAUGCCCAGACUUCCCUCUCCCUAGACACUUCCUCCAGCUCUUCCGGGGGGACACAGAGGCGUUCCCAGGCCAGCCGGGAGACAUAGUCCCUCCAGUGUGUCCUAGGUCUUCCCCGGGGUCUCCUCCCGGUGGGACGGGACCGGAACACCUUCCCGGGAAGGCGUUCAGGAGGCAUCCGGAACAGAUCUUGUCCUUUCGGUCAUGACCCAAAGCUCAUGACCAUAGGUGAGAGUAGGAACGUAGAUUGCCCGGUAAAUCGAGAGCUUCGCCUUGCGGCUCAGCUCUUUCUUCACCACGACAGACGAUACAUCGACUGCAUUACUGCAGAAGCUGCACCGAUCCGUCUGUCAAUCUCCCGUUACAUCCUUCCCUCACUCGUGAACAAGACCCCUAGAUACUUAAACUCCUCCACUUGAGGCAAUAAUUUAAUUGUAUUGAAUUAAUGAAUUCUUAUUAUACAUAUUGAUCUAUUUGAUUUACUAUUUUUUCCUCCACAAGAAAUAAUCAAGUCAAAACUAAUACAGCCAAACCAAUACAAAGAGCAGCACAAAACUCCCUGUUGUUAAAAGCAGAUGAUGUGCGCUUUAGUACCUAUAGAAGAUUUGUUCAGGAUUGACUAGAUUGACUUCAUUACUUUUACUUUAUGCUGCAUUUUCUAUCUCUUAUUUUUGUUCAAGUCACUCAUGCCUAUAAUAUCGACAUACUUGCAGAUCAUAAAUGGUCAUUAUAGAUUUGGUGGCUGGCAUCUUGAUUAGCUAACAUGUCUUCUAUUGACUAGUAAGAGCAGUAGCGUCGUUAGGCCUGGACGUCUUAAAUUUCAAUACAAACUGGAAAUGCUUACAUUUCUAUUAAUACUGGAAAAAUGGGGGUGUUCUAAAACCUUUGAGCGGUAGUACAGGUAUAACAUUUAAAUCCUCGGUUCACCCUACAUCUGUGUCUGGACCAUUCCUCCAAUAUUACAGUUUCUUUUCAUGAAUAUUGAGGAUCAGAAACCUUCCCAUCUCUUUCUCCAGAGUGCAUACACACCCUUUUCACUAGAUUUCUAUUUUCAAUUAAGUUAUUAUCAGAGCAUGUAGUAGACAGAACGGGACAGAUAUUAGCAUUUAACACCAUACAUUACAUACCUUUUAUCAAGAUUGAGAUUAUGGCCAUAGCAGAGGACAUCUAUACCAACAUAGAGGUUUAGAAGUCUGUUUAAAAAGGCUGUGAUGAUCUGACUGCAGGUUAAGCAACUUCACACCACUUCCGCAGGCUGGAACAAGUAUGUUCACUGAUACUAAGAUUUGGAUGAAAGCCACAGAUCCUGACAUCUCAGAAUGUUCACUGCAAGGGCCAGCAAUCCAUUUAAAUCAGUAUGAUAAUCCCCAUUGUCUAAGAUGUCCCACGCAGGUCCUAGUGGGAAAAUAACUUUUAAAGAUCUAUGUGUUAGUAGGUACAAAACCAAUAUAAAUGAGUUUAUUAGCAUCAUGAAUGAGAAAAGCUGGCCUACAAGGUUGUGCAGCAGUCAGAGGUGCUCUUUAAUAACACAGAGAUUGGUUUAAGUAUUGACUGUGAGACUGGCUACCGUUUCUCUGGGACUGCUGUGGAUUCUUCAUACCGGCCACAGUCAUAAGCCUGCCUGGGCACUGGUAGUAUUCAACCCUCACAUGGGUGGGUUGAGUGUCAAGACAGAGAAACAUUAUUAAUAUGUACUCUCCACUUUCCUAUCACAGACCAUAAUAAACACAAUCAACUGUCCAGGCUCCAGAUCUCAUACAACAACCUGACUGUACAAAAGUUACGAUAAGGACACUAUAUUAUCACAAGUGGCAUGAGGUGAUUGUCAAAUUUGAAAAUAUAGUUUAUGGACUUCAUGUAAUCCGUAGUGCAUGAUAUGUAGCCUAAGAACAGUAUAACACGUGCCGAUGUAUUGGAAACAUAUGCAUGUUUUGUAAAUUAUUCAUGAAAAUGAGGCUACAAGAGCUUCUUUGCUCUGGUGCCCAAAUACUGGUAUGUUGUCACUGACAAGGUGUCUGCAGGUUUGAUUGAUUGUGGUUUGUUACCACAAUCAAUCAAUGUUUGUUGUA